CCUACGUGAGGCAGCAGUGAGGAAUAUUGGUCAAUGGGCGGAAGCCUGAACCAGCCAAGUAGCGUGCAGGAUGACGGCCCUAUGGGUUGUAAACUUCUUUUAUAUGGGGAUAAAAUCGUCCACGUGUGGGGUUUUGUAUGUCCCAUAUGAAUAAGGAUCGGCUAACUCCGUGCCAGCAGCCGCGGUAAUACGGAGGGUCCGAACGUUAUCCGGAUUUAUUGGGUUUAAAGGGAGCGUAGGAGGGUUUUUAAGGCCGUUGUGAAAGUUUGCGGAUUAAACGUCAAAUUGCAGUUGAAACUGGACGCCUUGAGUACAGAACAGGUGGGCGGAAUUCGUGGUGUAGCGGUGAAAUGCGUAGAUAUCACGAAGAACUCCGAUUGCGAAGGCAGCUCACCGGGGUGCAACUGACACUGAGGCUCGAAAGUGCGGGUAUCAAACAGGAUUAGAUACCCCAGUAGUC
rnacentral:rRNA from 1 species